rnacentral:lncRNA from 1 species
AGGAUGAUGGUAGGUUGCCAGAGCUCUACGCUGGAGAUUAGGCAAGAGCUGAUCAACGGGGUCCUCUACUCUAUCUUCCUGCACAAGGUUAAGUUACAUAUACCAAGGAGCCACCAAGGGCCAGCACUGGCUAGAGUGUGAGAACAAGUCUGCUCUGAACCUCUAUGAGACCUGCAAGGUGCGCACGGUGAAGGCUGGUACACUGGAUAAGUUGGUGGAGCACCAAGUGCCUGUCUUUAAGGGCAGUGACCUUUCCUAUGUAACCUUCUUCCUGAGCUCUCUACAGA